GCCAGGUCAGACCUCAUUACAAACACUAGUUAAUACGGUACCAGCCAGGUCAGACCUCACUACAAACACUAGUUAAUACGGUACCAGCCAGGUCAGACCUCAUUACAAACACUAGUUAAUACGGUACUAGGUACCAGCCAGGUCGGACCUCACUACAAACACUAGUUAAUACGGUACCAGCCAGGUCAGACCUCAUUACAAACACUAGUUAAUACGGUACCAGGUACCAGCCAGGUCAGACCUCAUUACAAACACUAGUUAAUACGGUACCAGCCAGCUCAGACCUCAUUACAAACACUAGUUAAUACGGUACCAGCCAGGUCAGACCUCACUACAAACACUAGUUAAUACGGUACCAGCCAGGUCAGACCUCAUUACAAACACUAGUUAAUACGGUACCAGGUACCAGCCAGGUCAGACCUCUUUACAAACACUAGUUAAUACGGUACCAGCCAGGUCAGACCUCUUUACAAACACUAGUUAAUACGGUACCAGCCAGGUCAGACCUCAUUACAAAC